UACGAAGGGUGCAAACGUUGCUCGGAAUUAUUGGGCGUAAAGCGCACGUAGGCGGCUUGGCAAGUCGGAUGUGAAAUCCCUCGGCUCAACCAAGGAAGUGCAUCCGAAACUGCUGAGCUUGAGUUCUUAAGAGGAUCGCGGAAUUCCCGGUGUAGAGGUGAAAUUCGUAGAUAUCGGGAGGAACACCAGUGGCGAAGGCGGCGAUCUGGGAAGAUACUGACGCUGAGGUGCGAAAGCCAGGGGAGCGAACGGG
rnacentral:rRNA from 1 species